rnacentral:rRNA from 1 species
GAUGAACGCUAGCUACAGGCUUAACACAUGCAAGUCGAGGGGCAUCAGGAAGAAAGCUUGCUUUCUUUGCUGGCGACCGGCGCACGGGUGAGUAACACGUAUCCAACCUGCCCUUUACUCGGGGAUAGCCUUUCGAAAGAAAGAUUAAUACCCGAUAGCAUAAUGAUUCCGCAUGGUUUCAUUAUUAAAGGAUUCCGGUAAAGGAUGGGGAUGCGUUCCAUUAGGUUGUUGGUGAGGUAACGGCCCACCAAGCCUUCGAUGGAUAGGGGUUCUGAGAGGAAGGUCCCCCACAUUGGAGCUGAGACACGGUCCAAACUCCUACGGGAGGCAGCAGUGAGGAAUAUUGGUCAAUGGGCGCUAGCCUGAACCAGCCAAGUAGCGUGAAGGAUGAAGGCUCUAUGGGUCGUAAACUUCUUUUAUAUAAGAAUAAAGUGCAGUAUGUAUACUGUUUUGUAUGUAUUAUAUGAAUAAGGAUCGGCUAACUCCGUGCCAGCAGCCGCGGUAAUACGGAGGAUCCGAGCGUUAUCCGGAUUUAUUGGGUUUAAAGGGAGCGUAGGUGGACUGGUAAGUCAGUUGUGAAAGUUUGCGGCUCAACCGUAAAAUUGCAGUUGAUACUGUCAGUCUUGAGUACAGUAGAGGUGGGCGGAAUUCGUGGUGUAGCGGUGAAAUGCUUAGAUAUCACGAAGAACUCCGAUUGCGAAGGCAGCUCACUGGACUGCAACUGACACUGAUGCUCGAAAGUGUGGGUAUCAAACAGGAUUAGAUACCCUGGUAGUCCACACAGUAAACGAUGAAUACUCGCUGUUUGCGAUAUACAGUAAGCGGCCAAGCGAAAGCAUUAAGUAUUCCACCUGGGGAGUACGCCGGCAACGGUGAAACUCAAAGGAAUUGACGGGGGCCCGCACAAGCGGAGGAACAUGUGGUUUAAUUCGAUGAUACGCGAGGAACCUUACCCGGGCUUAAAUUGCAGUGGAAUGAUGUGGAAACAUGUCAGUGAGCAAUCACCGCUGUGAAGGUGCUGCAUGGUUGUCGUCAGCUCGUGCCGUGAGGUGUCGGCUUAAGUGCCAUAACGAGCGCAACCCUUAUCUUUAGUUACUAACAGGUUAUGCUGAGGACUCUAGAGAGACUGCCGUCGUAAGAUGUGAGGAAGGUGGGGAUGACGUCAAAUCAGCACGGCCCUUACGUCCGGGGCUACACACGUGUUACAAUGGGGGGUACAGAAGGCAGCUAGCGGGUGACCGUAUGCUAAUCCCAAAAUCCUCUCUCAGUUCGGAUCGAAGUCUGCAACCCGACUUCGUGAAGCUGGAUUCGCUAGUAAUCGCGCAUCAGCCACGGCGCGGUGAAUACGUUCCCGGGCCUUGUACACACCGCCCGUCAAGCCAUGGGAGCCGGGGGUACCUGAAGUACGUAACCGCAAGGAUCGUCCUAGGGUAAAACUGGUG